UACGAAGGGGGCUAGCGUUGCUCGGAAUCACUGGGCGUAAAGGGUGCGUAGGCGGUUCUUUCAGUCUGGGGUGAAAUCCUGGAGCUCAACUCCAGAACUGCCUUUGAUACUGAGGAUCUUGAGUCCGGGAGAGGUGAGUGGAACUGCGAGUGUAGAGGUGAAAUUCGUAGAUAUUCGCAAGAACACCAGUGGCGAAGGCGGCUCACUGGCCCGGUACUGACGCUGAGGUGCGAAAGCGGGGGGAGCAAACAGG
rnacentral:rRNA from 1 species